UGGGGAAUAUUGCACAAUGGGCGCAAGCCUGAUGCAGCCAUGCCGCGUGUAUGAAGAAGGCCUUCGGGUUGUAAAGUACUUUCAGCGGGGAGGAAGGCGAUAAGGUUAAUAACCUUGUCGAUUGACGUUACCCGCAGAAGAAGCACCGGCUAACUCCGUGCCAGCAGCCGCGGUAAUACGGAGGGUGCAAGCGUUAAUCGGAAUUACUGGGCGUAAAGCGCACGCAGGCGGUCUGUCAAGUCGGAUGUGAAAUCCCCGGGCUCAACCUGGGAACUGCAUUCGAAACUGGCAGGCUAGAGUCUUGUAGAGGGGGGUAGAGUUCCAGGUGUAGCGGUGAAAUGCGUAGAGAUCUGGAGGAAUACCGGUGGCGAAGGCGGCCCCCUGGACAAAGACUGACGCUCAGGUGCGAAAGCGUGGGGAGCAAACA
rnacentral:rRNA from 1 species